UCUCCACUGAUCCUUAAUCUCUAAGUCUGAUACUAAUAUCUUUAAAGCACCAGAAGCUAUGAAAGAAGUUGCUCCUGAUAUGCAAGUAUCUGAGGAUGUUCUUGAAGAGCCAGAACCUCAGCCUGUGGAAGUGACCGAAGCUCCUCAAGAAGUGGUUCCUGUGAAGAGAGUUCCUUCCAAACAAAGAGAGCCUCCAUCCGUGAAAGCGCCCGAAGCACCUCACGAAAUUCCCCCUGAGAAGAAAGCAUCUGUGGUUCCUCCCAAAAAGCCUAAAG